GCAAACUUGGUCAUUUAGAGGAAGUAAAAGUCGUAACAAGGUUUCCGUAGGUGAACCUGCGGAAGGAUCAUUAACAAUUCCAAAUAAUAAUCUUAUUCACCCUCUGUGAACAGAUCUUGGUGGUAUUAGGUAGCUGGCAGCAAAAGCAAUAUGUUGCUUUAAAAGCUGUUCUAGCUACUGGGCCAAGAUAAAUGUGUAUGCUUUUGUCUGUAAACCAACCGUCUUGGCUUUAGGGACAAGCACACAAAUUGACUAUGUGUUGCAUUACAAGUUUAAAAUUAGCAAAUAUUUACAACUUUUAACAGUGGAUCUCUUGGCUCCUGCAUCGAUGAAGAACGCAGC
rnacentral:misc_RNA from 1 species